rnacentral:rRNA from 1 species
GUGAAGCCUGAUUACCCUACGGGGGGCAAACGCGGGGAACUGAAACAUCUAAGUACCCGCAGGAGAAGAAAACAAUAGUGAUUCCGUAAGUAGUGGCGAGCGAACACGGACCAGCCCAAACCAAUCUGGUUACGGCCAGGUUGGGGUUGUAGGACUCACCAAGUGGUUAAAUAGCGAACUGGAAUGGCAUGGGAAGGCCAAUCGUAGAGGGUGAGAAUCCCGUACAGGCAGCGAGUUUAACUGAGUGAGUAUCCUGAGUAGGUGGGGACCG